GCUGCAGCAGCUGCGGCUGCAGCUGCCGUCCACCAUCCAUCUCAACUCAGGCCGAAAGAUCCGUCACUAUUGCACCUUAGAGGAGGCCCAGGCCCUCCGCCUUCGGUACA